rnacentral:lncRNA from 1 species
AAUUGUCUGUGGCGCCAUCCCAUUUGAGCUGCGUCUUCAUUAUCUGAUGUUUGGCCUUGGCACCAGUUUAGUAUGUUUGAUGAAAUUUGGUCCCGGUGAUAAUUUCUCCCCGUCACGCUCCCGUAAUGAGAGGUGUGGAGGCUCCAUAUGGUGGUGUUUGUGCUCGAGUACCCGUUGAGAAUGUCACUUGCUGAUACUAAAUCACCCAGCUUGAGAGGGUGUUUGUGUGUGUUGCAAGAGGGAUCCUGAGUUGCAGGCCAGCGAGGAGAAAGUUAAUAGCCAGGGCUUAGAAGUCAGCCCGCUCAAGUCCAAAUUACAGGAAAAGACAGAACAAUCUCAACAGCUGCAAGAUCAAAUUCUCAAGCAGCAGGAGGCUCUAAGUAGGGCAAGCCAAACUCUCAAAGACACCAGGAAAGCAGCUGGCAAUAAGUGGCAUCAGCAGGUGGAGAGACAGACAUGGUGGAACCACAGGCGGAGGGUGAACCAGCUGCAGGGUAAAGCUAUGAAGUCUACGAGGUGGGCAUGCGAUUCUGCAAGGGAUGAGAUCGAAGAAGAAGAAUUCCCAGGAAGCAUGGGAAGAGAUGGAGGAGGAAACAUUACAGCAAACCUCUUGCAAGGAGUUCUCAAAGAAUAAAAAUAAACUUUAAAACUAUAAACAGAGAAGCCCUGCAGAAAGAAUUGAGAUUGAGACUUUUUUUGACCCUUCAUUGACUUCUUUUAGGUGUUUCAAUGAGAACUUGGGAAACAUUAAAUUUGGCCUCACAGAAAAAGGUGAGUCAUGUUUUAUAAGUGUUUAAAAGAGAAAGUGUGUGUGUUUUUUUUCUUCCAAACGAUGUUGUUUUGAGAAUGGAUAUUAGAGAUAUAUUAGGGAGGCAUAGAUGAGAGACUGUAUUCAGGUUUUUUUUUAUUUUGCUCAGCAAGGUGCUCAGCCUUUUUCUUUAGAGGUGGUUUAUAUCGCUCUCUGUGUGUGUGUGUGUGUGUGUGUGUGUGUGUGUGUGUG